rnacentral:lncRNA from 1 species
AUGACAGGAAGACUGAAGGAAGGUCUUUGGAGAGUUAUUUUAGUAGCUGAAUUUUCAUCACAACAGCACCUACAAUUGUCAAGUACCCACAACCAAUGACUCUUCAUGAGGGCUCUGGAAGCACCAGCUUCUAUUCUUCAUAGGUGGCAAAGUUCAGAAACGAAAAUCGGCACUGACAAAGCAUGGCGUUCCUUCCUAUAAGCCUCCUGCGGAUUCAUCCUACUUUAGGUAGGAAGUUAACCUGACUUCCAGGUCACAAACAUUAGCAUGCAUGGGGAUCGUUAGUAGAAAAAGGAAAAAGAUAUGAGCCAGCC